rnacentral:rRNA from 2 species
CUGGUGUCAGCCGCCGCGGUAAUACCAGCACCCCGAGUGGUCGGGACGAUUAUUGGGCCUAAAGCAUCCGUAGCCGGUACCGCAAGUCUUCCGUUAAAUCCACCUGCUCAACAGUUGGGCUGCGGGGGAUACUACAGCGCUAGGAGGCGGGAGAGGCAAGCGGUACUUAAUGGGUAGGGGUAAAAUCCACUGAUCCAUUGAAGACCACCAGUGGCGAAGGCGGCUUGCCAGAACGCGCUCGACGGUGAGGGAUGAAAGCUGGGGGAGCAAACCGGAUUAGAUACCCGGGUAGUCCCAGCUGUAAACGAUGCAGACUCGGUGAUGGGCUGGCCUUGUGCCAACCCAGUGCCGCAGGGAAGCCGUUAAGUCUGCCGCCUGGGGAGUACGGUCGCAAGACUGAAACUUAAAG